rnacentral:rRNA from 1 species
AUGCUUUGGUGCCUACGGGAACUCUGAGACAGGUGCUGCAUGGCUGUCGUCAGCUCGUGUUGUGAAAUGUUGGGUUAAGUCCCGCAACGAGCGCAACCCUUAUCCUUUGUUGCCAGCGGUUCGGCCGGGAACUCAAAGGAGACUGCCAGUGAUAAACUGGAGGAAGGUGG